AGUAGCUAACAUCCCUGUAGUAAUGCUAUUUUUCCUCAAGUAGCGACGUUUUUGUCCCCCAUCGAUUUUACUCAAUGAUUUUUGUUUUACUUUCUCUAUCCUGAAACCUAGGCAGUCACACAGGGGUUCCAAGACCCACCGGCGUAAAAUCAAGUCAAAGGCUGCUGUCUCAUAAUAUGGCGAAGACGAGUCACCUGAAGGCCUAACUCGCCAUAGAAGACUGAAAGAAUUGUCCUGCAGGAUGCUGUGUCCUGCAAUCCUGUGUACUGUGCUACAGACGCAUGUGGAGGUCAACCCAAAAUGGGCACAGUCUCACCGCAGAAGAGUGAAAGAGGAUCCUGGCAGGGAGACGGUAGUGUCCUGCAGAAUGGUGAUGGGCCAAUCUUACAAGAGACCACAGAAAACUGAUAUAGUGAACUAUAGAAACAACAGUGCCUGCUGCAGUAUAAUGAGGACACCCUGAGCAGAGAGCUCCAAUAGACCCAGGUCCAGUGUCUUGGCAGGGUGAAAUGGCACUGAUAUGGUGUCCUGCAGGAUGCUGUGUCCUGCAAUCCUGUGUGCUGUGCUACAGACGCGUGUGGAGGUCAACCCAAAAUGGGCACAGUCUCACCACAGAAGAGUGAAAGAGGCUUUAAAACUUAAGGCCACCGCUAUGGAGGGAGCGGCUGCAACCGCCACCAGCGCAGCAGCUGCCCAACAAGCUCGACCCUCCGAUUCCUCCACCUCCAGCUCCUCCACCUCCUCUUCAAGUGACUCGGAGCCAGAGAGGAAGAGAAAGA